rnacentral:rRNA from 1 species
ACUCCUACGGGAGGCAGCAGUAGGGAAUCUUCCACAAUGGACGAAAGUCUGAUGGAGCAACGCCGCGUGAACGAUGAAGGCUUUCGGGUCGUAAAGUUCUGUUGUAAGGGAAGAACAAGUGCCGCAGGCAAUGGCGGCACCUUGACGGUACCUUGCGAGAAAGCCACGGCUAACUACGUGCCAGCAGCCGCGGUAAUACGUAGGUGGCAAGCGUUGUCCGGAAUUAUUGGGCGUAAAGCGCGCGCAGGCGGCCUCUUAAGUCUGAUGUGAAAGCCCCCGGCUCAACCGGGGGAGGGCCAUUGGAAACUGGGAGGCUUGAGUAUAGGAGAGAAGAGUGGAAUUCCACGUGUAGCGGUGAAAUGCGUAGAGAUGUGGAGGAAC